rnacentral:ncRNA from 1 species
GUGUAAAGCACAAGGGAGCUUGACUGUGAGACCUACAAGUCGAACAGGGACGAAAGUCGGGCUUAGUGAUCCGGUGGUUCCGCAUGGAAGGGCCAUCGCUCAACGGAUAAAAGCUACCCCGGGGAUAACAGGCUUAUCUCCCCAAGAGUCCACAUCGACGGGGAGGUUUGGCACCUCGAUGUCGGCUCAUCGCAUCCUGGGGCUGUAGUCGGUCCCAAGGGUUGGGCUGUUCGCCCAUUAAAGCGGUACGCGAGCUGGGUUCAGAACGUCGUGAGACAGUUCGGUCCCUAUCCGUCGCGGGCGCAGGAAAUUUGAGAGGAGCUGUCCUUAGUACGAGAGGACCGGGAUGGACACACCGCUGGUGUACCAGUUGUUCCGCCAGGAGCAUCGCUGGGUAGCUAUGUGUGGAAGGGAUAAACGCUGAAAGCAUCUAAGCGUGAAGCCCCCCCUCGAGAUGAGAUUUCCCAUCACUUUAUGUGAGUAAGACCCUGAGAGACGAUCAGUU